rnacentral:rRNA from 1 species
GUAAGCGCUGUGAGGCGUUGAGCUAACCCAUACUAAUUGCCCGUGAGGCUUGACCAUAUAACACCCAAACA